ensembl:lncRNA
CUCAUAUUCUUAACAGCACCCACUCUUUCAACACCCCCAUUUGGUGUGAUAUUCUCAGCAGGUGGCCUUCUGGGUGCUCCUGAGGUGGCUUCCUGGGCAGGUGGAUGACAGGCUUUGUUUGCGGCUAUUUUUACAGCUCAGGAGAGCAGGCAGGAGCCUGAAACGCGCUCCCACCAGCUCUUCGUGAACAGGCCCAUUCCCAGACACACAGACCCAUGAUAGUCGGUGCCCACUGCACAGAUUUCAGUCCUUGCCGGGGCGGCUGGCAGCCCCCGCGUCCCGCAAGGCGCCGUGGCAGAGCCGAGGACACUAAGGGUAGGACGCCUGCCCUCGCAGCCAAUGGAGCUCACAGCCAAUGGGACAGAAAACGUGGCCGGAGGAGGAGCGAGCAGGUGGAGCAGGCUGACUGGGCACAUUCCAAGUCAGGAAAUGAGGUCGGCGAGACAGCUGCCACGAACAAGGGGACCCGCAGCCAGGAGAGAGAACCGAUGACAAAGUCGGCUACUGUAUUGACACAAUGUUGUGAGAAGAGCAACCCGUGUGAAGAUAGGAAGUACUAAGGUAUGAGACUUCCACACAAGACUUCUUAAAGGUUCAGAAAAUAAGAAACAUAUGGACAUACUAACACAUAUACAGUAUAACACAUGAAAUGUAACAUUUAUCUUAAACUAUGGUUGGUUCGAAGUCUCAUGAAUAUUCAGGUGGCAGAGCUGGAAGAAAUUUAAUAUUUUUCUUUCUAGAAAGCAGUAAUUUUGUUCUAAUCUCAACCCUGCUUCUACCUAGCUGAGUGACCAUAGGUGAGUCAUUUAAACAAUCAGAGUUGUCUUAGUUUCCUUGUUUGAAACCAGGGAUUCCUCAGAAUUCCAUUAUCGUACCCUUCUUCCUUCCCCAUCCCUCACCCCUGGAAAUCUGUAAUUCUCUGGGGACUUAAUAUUACUUGUUUCAGAUACUUACAUUCUUUUAGCUACGUGUUACAGAUUGCAGUGAAAGAAUGGUUGGUGGGAAAUAUUUUUCACGUGUCAAAGCUAAUGUUCAGAGCAUAGAAAACAACCAGCAAAUGUCUCACUCAGUGUCCUGGUUACACUGUCUUUGUUAAGUCUAACCUUUUAAAUUUGGGUUUAAGUCAGAUGCUUUGGGGUUAGUCAUAUGAUGAAUGAACUCAUAAAUGACUGUAUUCCAUGUUUGGGUACCCUACACAUACCCUCAACGCGCCAAUGUUGCUGUAGCCGUUCUCUAUAAGGAAUAUACAAAUUUAUGCUAAAUAAUUAAUUGACAUUUUCCUUAAGAUACUAUUUGCUAAAAUCUAUAGCCUCCCAAUUCUUCUUGCUCAAACAAUGAAUUAUGCUUCCCUACGGUUCUCCCAAUCUUUACGCACCUCUAAACAUCCAAUUUGCAGGUUAUAAUGAGAUAACGCCGUUGCACACGUGUGGUGUGUUUUUUCUCACAUGUUGUACACUUCUCCUCUACAACUGUAUAAUCUUCAUUUGCAAUGGCUACAAAAUAUUUUAUGGAGUUGCUAUAACAGUUUUUUGUCAGCUUUAUCUGUCUUCCACUGAAAUAAAUGAGUUAAGUAAGGUCUGUGGUCGGUGCGUUUUGUCUAUUUUUCCUUAUGUCUCCUUAGUUGCUGCUUCAUGAAUGAUGCCACAAUUUGAUGCACAGAUAUGCGUAACUGUUGUAUUUCCAUGGUGGUCUGUGGCAUGAUCAAGUGCCAGCUUUUGUCUUGUUUAAUACUGUGGGGCCUGAAUUUUACCUUGUUUUGUACUAGGAUUAUGAACCCCCCACACACACACACUUCAUUUUUUGCUGGUGUAUCUUUGUACGCUUUUUAUUUCUUUUUUUUUAACUGAAGCACAAUUAACAUACAGUGUUAUAUUAGUUCCAGGUGCACUACAUAGUGAUUCAACAAUCUGUAUGUUACUCCAUGUUCAUCAUGGUAAGCGUACUCGAAAUCCCCUUCACCUACUUUACCCCUCCUCCCACCCACCUCCCCUCUGGUGGCCAUCCGCUUGUUCUCUGUGUUUAAGAGUCUGGUUUUUUGUCUCUUUUUUCCUUUGUUUGCUCAUUUGUUUUGUUUCCUAAAUUCCACAUAUGAGGGAAAUCAUGCGUUACUUGUCUUUCUCUGUCUGACUUAUUUCACUUAGCGUAAUCCCCUCCAGGUCCAUCCAUGUUGUUACAAAUGGCUUUCAGUUUUAGUUUUUCUAUUUUGCUUUGUGAUUCAAUCUGAAGAUCUCUUUCCUCUAAUGGGAGAGUUAUAUUUACAUUUGUUAGUAUGACAUUUGGUCUCAGUUUUGUCAUUUUUAUAUGAUGUGUUCUGUUUUUAGAUGCUGCAUUGUAGCAAUUCCUGGUCACUUUUUUUUUUUCAUUUUAACAUCUUUGAAAUUGGAAUGUGUCUUACAACUGAC